rnacentral:rRNA from 1 species
UUUAGGCUGAGAGGUCAUGAGGAGAGCUCUACGAGCUCACGAACUCAGCUAUCCCAGACUUCCAAGAAAAGUUCCGGCGUGAGUCACUUUACUGACCGUACCGCAAACCGACACAGGUGGGCAAGGAGAAUAUCCUAAGGCGUUUGAGAGAAGCCUCUCUAAGGAACUCUGCAUAAUGACACCGUAACUUCGGGAUAAGGUGUGCCGACGGUAGGUGAUGUGCCUGCGCACAAAGCCCAAGUCGGUUGCAGUGAAACGGGGGUAGCGACUGUUUACAAAAAACACAGCACUCUGCAAACUCGUAAGAGGAUGUAUAGGGUGUGAUGCCUGCCCGGUGCCGGAAGGUUAAGAGGAGGAGUCAGCCGCAAGGCAAAGCCCCGAAUCGAAGCCCCGGUAAACGGCGGCCGUAACUAUAACGGUCCUAAGGUAGCGAAAUUCCUUGUCGGGUAAGUUCCGACCUGCACGAAUGGCAUAACGACUUCCCCACUGUCUCGGAGAGGCCCUCAGCGAAGUAGCACUAGGGGUGAAGAUACCCUUUACCCGCGGCAGGACGGAAAGACCCCGUGAACCUUUGCUGUAACUUGGCACUGAUUUUCGGGUUAGCUUGCGUAGGAUAGGUGGGAGGCUAUGAAGCCGGGAUUCCGGUCUCGGCAGAGCCAACCUUGAAAUACCACCCUGGCUAACCUAAAAAUCUAACUCGCUUCCGUAAUCCGGAAGGAGGACAAUGCCUGGUGGGCAGUUUGACUGGGGCGGUCGCCUCCCAAAAAGUAACGGAGGCGCGCGAAGGUUCCCUCAGCCUGAUUGGAAACCAGGCGAAGAGUGUAAUGGCAUAAGGGAGCUUGACUGCGAGACAAACAAGUCGAGCAGGUGCGAAAGCAGGUCAUAGUGAUCCGGUGGUCCUGUAUGGAAAGGCCAUCGCUCAACGGAUAAAAGGUACUCCGGGGAUAACAGGCUUAUCACGCCCAAGAGUUCACAUCGACGGCGUGGUUUGGCACCUCGAUGUCGGCUCAUCGCAUCCUGGGGCUGAAGUAGGUCCCAAGGGUUCGGCUGUUCGCCGAUUAAAGCGGUACGCGAGCUGGGUUCAAAACGUCGUGAGACAGUUUGGUCCCUAUCCGCCGUGGGCGCAGGAGACUUGAGAGGAGCUAACCUUAGUACGAGAGGACCGGGUUGGACUGACCUCUAGUGUUCCGGUUGUGGCACCAGCCGCAUCGCCGGGUAGCUACGUCGGGAAUGGAUAACCGCUAAAAGCAUCUAAGCGGGAAGCCAACCUCAAGAUUAGGUCUCCCAGGUCGUAAGACCCUAAAGGCCCCUCGUAGACCACGAGGUAAUAGGCUGGGUGUGGAAGCGUAGUAAUACGUGAAGCUGACCAGUACUAAUCGGCCGUGCGGCUUGACCAU